rnacentral:rRNA from 1 species
GACGAACGCUGGCGGCGUGCUUAACACAUGCAAGUCGAACGGAAAGGCCCUGCUUUUGUGGGGUGCUCGAGUGGCGAACGGGUGAGUAACACGUGAGUAACCUGCCCUUGACUUUGGGAUAACUUCAGGAAACUGGGGCUAAUACCGGAUAGGCGCUCCUGCUGCAUGGUGGGGGUUGGAAAGUUUCGGCGGUUGGGGAUGGACUCGCGGCUUAUCAGCUUGUUGGUGGGGUAGAGGCUUACCAAGGCUUUGACGGGUAGCCGGCCUGAGAGGGUGACCGGCCACAUUGGGACUGAGAUACGGCCCAGACUCCUACGGGAGGCAGCAGUGGGGAAUAUUGCACAAUGGGCGGAAGCCUGAUGCAGCAACGCCGCGUGCGGGAUGACGGCCUUCGGGUUGUAAACCGCUUUCGCCUGUGACGAAGCGUGAGUGACGGUAAUGGGUAAAGAAGCACCGGCUAACUACGUG